CAUUGAUAAUAACUUACAAUUAUUAUCCGCCUGGGAACUACGAGCACCAGCUUAAAACCCAAAGGACUUGGCGGUGCUUUAGACCCACCUAGAGGAGCCUGUUCUAGAACCGAUAACCCCCGUUCAACCUCACCCUUCCUUGUUCUUCCCGCCUAUAUACCACCGUCGUCAGCUUACCCUGUGAAGGAAUAAUAGUAAGCAAAACUGGCAAAGCCCAAAACGUCAGGUCGAGGUGUAGCGUAUGGAAGGGGAAGAAAUGGGCUACAUUCACUAACUCAGUGUACACGAAUGACACCCUGAAACACGUGUCUGAAGGAGGAUUUAGCAGUAAGAAGAAAAUAGAGUGUUCUACUGAAACUGGCCCUGAAGCGCGC
rnacentral:rRNA from 1 species